GACAAUCAGGUCCUCCGGACAGAUGUUGAUCCCCCUGCGGCAUCUUCUCCCAACCUAAGAUUGAUGGACCCUUAUCUUGGCCUCCUACUACGAUGUUGCCUACUCCUCUCUAAAGUCGACAAUAGAUACGGCUUGCAAUUAUGCCUGAACCAAUCCAUGUAAUCUGGAGAUGUCGCCAACUCCGGUAUGAGAAAUGGUUCACGC
rnacentral:lncRNA from 1 species